rnacentral:lncRNA from 1 species
AAAAUAUAACAAGUAAACUAAAAAAAUGAAAAAGCAACUCAUCUCCAAAAAAAUAAAUUAAAAAGAACACGUGCACCAUGGAAUUGUCAAAUAUUAACAAUCUACUUAAAUGCUGAAUGUAAAUUAACAUAUAUAAUAUAAAAUGCAUCUACAUUCCAACGUUAAAAAAAAGAAAAAAAAAUGUAAAAGAAGACCACGUGAGCAAACCGUGUCUUCUCCCAUUAAUUCACCGUUGCAGCACCUCUUUCAAAGGCCAAAAAUUCCUCCUAAAAUAAAUCACAUCACACCUUGCUUUAAAUUAAAUCAAUGCUUCAUCAAAGGAAAAGAAAAUGUGCUUAUGGAAUUAAGAAACCGUAACAGCAUGCUCCAGGCCAUGCUAUCACUUUCUCCAUGAAUCAUCACCGUCACCUCAUUC